rnacentral:misc_RNA from 1 species
UAUUCACUCUCAAUGAGUGUGGUCAGCGAUAUAGCCUAUUUGAUUGUGCCCUUGAUCCCUUCUCCAAUAGCGAUAGCAAAAUGGUUGAACACUCUCGUCAGCAGAUGCCCAUAUUCCAUUCCGUGCUUGCUGUCCUUAGCAGUGACAGUCUUGUGGAUAUGCUCAUAAUAGCAAGGAGAUUGACAUCUUCAACCUUGAUAAGAGUUUCCAUGAGGAACAAG